CCAGCCUGCACGGCAUACUGAAUUCAAAUGCCCCUUUCCCACUUGCACCUCAGGGUUGUAGGUUUUUCUCAGAGCAUCUUGAACAGAUAAUCAGAGCAUGCUGACAUUCAGCAGUAAUCAAUUAGCGCCUACUUUAGAUUAAAUUGAGAAUAUGUAAAUUAGGCUCCUCAUCAGGCACCACAGUCAACAUUUCAGAGACACUCACUGUGCUCUGAACAUAUCAAACAGAUGAAACGCAGAAGUUGUUCCAAAUCCUGCUCCAAAAUGGGAGGCCAGUGAAAACACAGCCACCACCAGGUGUCAAGAGCUUAUGCUGGUCCUGGCAAUGCUUGGGAUAAUUACACUUUGUUUCAUAAAAAGACAAAGAGGAUAAGCCUUGGUGUUAUUCCUCUCCCAGUGUCACAGCAUCCACACCUACUGCUUAGUUAAGUUUCUGCUGGACACAGGCCAGAAGUCUUAUGUUUGUAUGUAUUCAGUGGAAAAGACUUGCCCAUGGAAGAGGAACCGCCUCUUUCUUCAGACACUGAGCAAGGAGCUUGCACCCACCCCCAGCUGAUCACAUUUGGAGAAAGAGACAAUAACUGGACCCCACCUAGAGUAGAUAUUGUAGUUGGUGCUCAUUAAAAAGAGCCUCUAACCUGUAGAUAAGCACUGCCUUGUGCCAACCCAUCACUCAAACGUCCCACCUUUGCCGCAACCUUUCCGUCUGGCUCACGCAGAACCGCGAUAAGCCGCCGCUUCCCGCCCCACAGGAACGGGGGGUCCCUCAGAAG